UGAGGAAUAUUGGUCAAUGGUCGCAAGACUGAACCAGCCAUGCCGCGUGCAGGAAGACGGUCCUAUGGAUUGUAAGCUGCUUUUAUACAGGAAGAAACCCUCCCACGUGUGGGAGCUUGACGGUACUGUAGGAAUAAGGAUCGGCUAACUCCGUGCCAGCAGCCGCGGUAAUACGGAGGAUCCAAGCGUUAUCCGGAAUCAUUGGGUUUAAAGGGUCCGUAGGCGGUCUUAUAAGUCAGUGGUGAAAGCCCAUCGCUCAACGAUGGAACUGCCAUUGAUACUGUAAGACUUGAAUGCUUAGGAAGUAACUAGAAUAUGUAGUGUAGCGGUGAAAUGCUUAGAUAUUACAUGGAAUACCAAUUGCGAAGGCAGGUUACUACUAAGUGAUUGACGCUGAUGGACGAAAGCGUGGGGAGCGAACAG
rnacentral:rRNA from 1 species